rnacentral:lncRNA from 1 species
AGGAGAUGAGAUGAGAAUAAACUAGUAUUUAAAGAGAAAAAUUAUAAAUUCGGAAAGAGCCUUUGACAUUAUUUAAAUAUUUUAUUUUAAUAUUUAUUUUUAUGCAGAUUAUUCAAAAUAUGAAAAUAAGUCAUAUUUGGCACUUGGAUCAUGGAAAUAAAAUAGAAUUCAAAAGGCUGAAUGAUGGACAUGAGAUUCUCAGAAAACACGAUAUUGUUAAUUACCAGGAGGAAUGGCUGGAAACUAACUGGCCUGCCUGUAGGAGUAUAGGAAAAAGAGGCACGUAUGUUACUAAUGCCACGUGACAAUACUGCCCGGGAGCGGAUACCUGGAACAUACAUGGUGAUCUCUCUUCACCACUGCCACACUCGGAGAUGGAAGCGUCCCUGCUUUGUCCGGAUCUUUCGCAUCCCUCGCUCUCGUGUCUAAGGAGGUGCAAAGAAGUAGUCACACUCUAUCUAGAGACUGGCAGGAGGUUUUGGUUACACUUGGUGAGUCAUUCCUUCUACUUCCCUAAUUUAACAGAGAGAAAAUACCCACACUUAGUGCCUUUGUUUCCUGAAAGAAGUUGUAAAGUGAACACAUAUAAGUUAUUCAAAAUCAUCCUUAAUAGUGAACUGGUUUCAUGAGCCAAAUCUGUUCCAUUGAGGUGAUUUUGUUUGUCUGAAUCCUCCUUCAAGCUUUCACUCUGAGUGCAGCGCAGAAACAAUGCAUGAGCUGUAAAGCUGUGAAAGCUCAUAGCCUCGAGCUGAAAUCUGUCAUGGGGA